rnacentral:rRNA from 1 species
UACGUAGGGAGCAAGCGUUGUUCGGAUUUACUGGGCGUAAAGGGCGCGUAGGCGGCCUGUCAAGUCAACUGUGAAAUCUCCGGGCUUAACUCGGAACGGUCAGUUGAUACUGUCUGGCUAGAGUCCGGAAGGGGCGAGUGGAAUUCCUGGUGUAGCGGUGAAAUGCGUAGAUAUCUGGAGGAACACCGGUGGCGAAGGCGGCAUCCUGGACCAACACUGACACUGAGGAGCGAAAGCCAGGGGAGCAAACGGG